UCACUUACCUGGCAGGGGAUAUACCAUGAUCACAAAAGUGGUUUUCCCAGGCCAAGGCUUAUCCAUUGCACUCCAGAUGUGCUCACCUCUGCAAUUUCCGCUAAUGUGGGAAACUCAACUGCAUAAUUGUGGUGUGGGGGAUUGCAUUUAUAAUUUCCACC
rnacentral:snRNA from 1 species